rnacentral:rRNA from 1 species
AUUGAACGCUGGCGGCAGGCCUAACACAUGCAAGUCGAGCGGGGUUUUCGGACCUAGCGGCGGACGGGUGAGUAAUGCGUAGGAAGCUACCCGAUAGAGGGGAUACCAGUUGGAAACGACUGUUAAUACCGCAUAAUGUCUACGGACCAACGUGUGGGACCUUCGGGCCACAUGCUAUCGGAUUCGCCUACGUUGGACUAGCCAGUUGGGGGGGUAAUGGCUCCCCAAGGCGACGAUCCCUAGGUGGUUUGAGAGGAUGAUCAGCCACACUGGAACGGCGACACGGUCCAGACUCCUUCGGGCGGCAGCAGUGGGGAAUAUUGGACAAUGGGAGCAAGCCUGAUCCGGCGAUGCGUCGUGUGUGAAGAAGGCCUUCGGGUUGAAAAGCCCUUUCAGUAGGGAGGAAGGGUGUUGUGUUAAUAGCACAGCAUUUUGACGUUACCUACAGAAGAAGCACCGGCUGACUCGGUGCCAGCCGCCGCCGGAAUAC